rnacentral:lncRNA from 10 species
UACCACAGCUGUGGUCUUUUUAUAAAAAUAGUUAUUGAAGUAUAAUUGAUGUACAAAAAUUAAAAGCAUACAAAUAAACAUAGCUUUAUAUAUGUGUAUACCUGACACAUCAUCCUAACGAUGAUGACAAAUAAUGUGUUUUUUACCCCAAAGGAUUUCCUCAAAUGCUGUAUUAAUCCCUAUGUUUCUUUUCUCCCUGGUCCCACUCAGUUCUAGAUAAAAACUGAUGUAGUUUAUGUCACUACAGACUAGUUUGGUUUUCUUGGAUUUUAGUAAAUAGAAUUGUAAAGUAUCCACUGAUAUUUUGUGUGCAGUUUCUUUCACUCAGCAUAACUAAGAGAAAAUGAGCUGCCGUGUUGUUAGAAUACUCAAGCAGUCUCAUGGAGAAACCUACAUAGCAUGAAACUAAGAAGUAAAGCCUCCUAACAACAGCCAGCAAAAAGGAAUCUGGACUGCUUGCAAGCAGCCAUGUGAGUGAGACGUCUCAGAAACUGCAGCCUCAGCCUGCAACUUGACUGCAGCCUUAUAGUAGGCUCUGAGCCAGAACCACCCAGCCAAGCUGUUCUCAAACUCCUAACCUACAAAUACUGUGAGAUAAUGCUUGUAGUUCCAUGCUACUAAGUUGUGAAGUAAUUUGUUAUAUAACAGUAGAUACUUUAAACAUACAUCUUGCUUUUAAAAAUAUAAAAUUACUUUUUCAAAAACGCUUUAUUUUCUCAGUACAACUGUCUCAUUAGAAUAUCCCACAUAUAUGGUCUGAGAUGAUGGGAUUUUCUAAAUAUAGAAUCAUGUCAUCUGCAAACAGAGACAAUUUGACUUCCUCUCUUCAUAUUUGAAUACGCUUUAUAUAUUUCUCUUGCCUGAUUGCCCUGGCCAGAACUUCCAGUGCUAUGUUGAAUAGGAGUGGUGAGAGAGGGCAUCCUUGCCUGGUGCAGGUUUUCAAAAGGAAUGCUUCCAGUUUUUGCCCAUUUAUUAUGGCCCCUAAUGCAUGUGGGCCUUAAAAUCUAGAUGACAGGUUGUUAGGUGCAGCAAACCACCAGGCACAUGUAUACCUACGUAACAAACCUGCACAUUCUAUACAUGUAUCCCGGAACUUAAAGUAAAAUUCAAAAAAUCUUAAAAAAUCCUACAUAUGUGGAAUAUGUAUCCAUUUUAUAAAGAAUAAUAAAGUGGUUUAUUAUACUGACUUCCAAACUGAAUAGUUUCAACAAAAUUGGGUUUCAUCCUUUAUCUAUCCUUUAUCUUUCUGUAGCUGAAUACAAAAUAUAAAGUGAAUGGUAACCUAUCAGUCUGAGGUCAUAGUGACAGGUCAAGAGCAAAGACCAACUGAGUGAAGAGUUUAGGGUUUGGCCUAUAAGCAUUGAGACAACAAGUAAAAUUCUUUCUCUUGCUUUGUUUGUUCAAUUUUU